rnacentral:rRNA from 1 species
AAAUUGAAGAGUUUGAUCAUGGCUCAGAUUGAACGCUGGCGGCAGGCCUAACACAUGCAAGUCGAGCGGUAGCACAGAGAGCUUGCUCUCGGGUGACGAGCGGCGGACGGGUGAGUAAUGUCUGGGAAACUGCCUGAUGGAGGGGGAUAACUACUGGAAACGGUAGCUAAUACCGCAUAAUGUCGCAAGACCAAAGUGGGGGACCUUCGGGCCUCAUGCCAUCAGAUGUGCCCAGAUGGGAUUAGCUAGUAGGUGGGGUAAUGGCUCACCUAGGCGACGAUCCUAGCUGGUCUGAGAGGAUGACCAGCCACACUGGAACUGAGACACGGUCCAGACUCCUACGGGAGGCAGCAGUGGGGAAUAUUGCACAAUGGGCGCAAGCCUGAUGCAGCCAUGCCGCGUGUGUGAAGAAGGCCUUCGGGUUGUAAAGCACUUUCAGCGGGGAGGAAGGCGGUGAGGUUAAUAACCUCAUCGAUUGACGUUACCCGCAGAAGAAGCACCGGCUAACUCCGUGCCAGCAGCCGCGGUAAUACGGAGGGUGCAAGCGUUAAUCGGAAUUACUGGGCGUAAAGCGCACGCAGGCGGUCUGUCAAGUCGGAUGUGAAAUCCCGGGCUCAACCGGGAACUGCAUUCGAAACUGGCAGGCUAGAGUCUUGUAGAGGGGUAGAAUUCCGUGUAGCGGUGAAAUGCGUAGAGAUCUGGAGGAAUACCGGUGGCGAAGGCGGCCCCCUGGACAAAGACUGACGCUCAGGUGCGAAAGCGUGGGGAGCAAACAGGAUUAGAUACCCUGGUAGUCCACGCCGUAAACGAUGUCGAUUUGGAGGUUGUGCCCUUGAGGCGUGGCUUCCGGAGCUAACGCGUUAAAUCGACCGCCCGGGAGUACGGCCGCAAGGUUAAAACUCAAAUGAAUUGACGGGGCCCGCACAAGCGGUGGAGCAUGUGGUUUAAUUCGAUGCAACGCGAAGAACCUUACCUGGUCUUGACAUCCACAGAACUUUCCAGAGAUGGAUUGGUGCCUUCGGGAACUGUGAGACAGGUGCUGCAUGGCUGUCGUCAGCUCGUGUUGUGAAAUGUUGGGUUAAGUCCCGCAACGAGCGCAACCCUUAUCCUUUGUUGCCAGCGGUCCGGCCGGGAACUCAAAGGAGACUGCCAGUGAUAAACUGGAGGAAGGUGGGGAUGACGUCAAGUCAUCAUGGCCCUUACGACCAGGGCUACACACGUGCUACAAUGGCAUAUACAAAGAGAAGCGACCUCGCGAGAGCAAGCGGACCUCAUAAAGUAUGUCGUAGUCCGGAUUGGAGUCUGCAACUCGACUCCAUGAAGUCGGAAUCGCUAGUAAUCGUAGAUCAGAAUGCUACGGUGAAUACGUUCCCGGGCCUUGUACACACCGCCCGUCACACCAUGGGAGUGGGUUGCAAAAGAAGUAGGUAGCUUAACCUUCGGGAGGGCGCUUACCACUUUGUGAUUCAUGACUGGGGUGAAGUCGUAACAAGGUAACCGUAGGGGAACCUGCGGUUGGAUCACCUCCUUACCUUAAAGAA